GACUGAAACUUAUUUCUGCAUCUCGUGUACGUCUGUGGAAUCUGAGCUCUCCGGGCUCUUGUAAGACACCUGGGAUUGAAUGCAGGAAUGCACGUAGAGCAGAUGUUAGGAGUGCUAUGGUGUCCCUCUCGAGUGCAGCUGUGUUUUCUGAUUCUCUCUCAGGGGAGUUUGAGCUGGUCAGAUCUUCAAUGGCAAAUAAUCAUGAAUUAUGAGGCAUAAACCUCGUGUCCAAAGAACACCUGUGUUAUCUGGAAACUCAUUAUUUGUAAAUUGUGUUUUCUGUUUUCACAGUCCAUGUCGCUCAGAGACCAGAGUUACUUGAGCUAAUAUAAUCAAGAU